GCCUUGCUGGCUCAGCCAGUAGAGCAUGUGACUUUUGAUCUCUGAAUGAUGAGUUCAAAUCCCAUGUUGGGCG
rnacentral:tRNA from 1 species